UGAAAAAUAGUUUAUAUAAAAUAUGGGAUUUGGAGUCUUAAGAAAUUAAAAAGUUUUUUCAA
rnacentral:tRNA from 1 species